rnacentral:lncRNA from 1 species
GCGAACAUUCAUCUUGCCUCUGCCUGGUGAUCUGGAUCCCCCUGUUUCAGGCUCUCUGCAGCAGCCCUGACUUGAAUUGGCUGUGUGAUCUGAGGCUGUUCACUUAACCUCUCUGGUUAUCCAUAUCCUCAUCCAUAGAAUGGAGAUAAUCAUUCUCACCACCGAGGGGUGCUGUGAGGAUCGGGCAAGGCCACAAGCAUUUGGGUCUUGCUCUGUUACCCAGGCUGGAGUGCAGUGGUGUGAUCAGACUUGAGCUGCAGCCUUCAGCUCCUAGGCUCAAGGAAUCCUCCCACCUCAGUCUCCUGAGUAGCUGGGACUACAGGUAGGCACCACCACAUCUAGCUGAUUAAUUUGUUGUUGUUGUUGUUUUGAGAUGUGGUCUUGAUUGGUUGCCAGUCCUGGUCUUGAACUCCUGGCCUCAAGCAAUCCUCCUGCCUUAGCCUCCCAAAGUGUUGGAUUACAGGUAUGAGCCACUAUGCUUGGUUCCUUUCCUAAUUUUAAGUAAGCUUUUGCAAAAUAUUGUCCCACAUCUUGGCCAUGGCUAUGAGUGCAGGUGGGUAUUACUGGACACUUUUAGCUCUGGAACUUGUAUUUACUUGCUGUACUCAUUAGCUAGGUUUUAAAAACUGUACUUUAGGGGCUCCUAGGGAUUAACUGUACUUUAGGGGCUGCAGGAACAAAAACAUGGAGGGGUGAGGGAAGCACAUCUCCUGGAAGUCAUUUGGACAAGAUUCCUUCUCACUUAAGACCACAACUAGAAGCAAGAAGUCAUUUGUGCUUGAAUAUUGACCUGGACUUACCAUCUGGAGUUCCUGUAUUUGUGAAGAUUUCUUCAAAAACUUGAUCCAAAUAUUAUUUCAGAGGAAGCAGUUAAUUUGAAACAUAGUAUAUUAGGUUUAGGAUUAACUCAACUAUUUUGUAUUUAUAUUCCCAGAAACAUUGUAUUCUUUUCCAUUGAAACAUACACACCACACCCACACCCACCCACACACAUACGUACUUUAUAGAAUACACUGUACCUGUCUAUUGCAGAGAGUUUUAUGGUGCAUCUAGCCAAAACCAAUAAAAUGUGG